rnacentral:lncRNA from 1 species
UAUCUACUUGGGUUAGUGAUGGUUCAAUGAAUAUUAAUAUUACCCUCCCACACAGUAUUAUAUGAGCCAUUUACAGUGCCCUGCUUGACUUCUGGGAACUUUGUAGGCCAGAGUGACAAUACUGUAUGUAGUAUGUUAAGUCGCAUAUUGUACAUUCCUUUAAUACAUUUAGGGAAAGAUCAGUAUACAUAUAUAGGUAAAAGUGGAACCUGAUAAAUGCUUCAAAGCUACAAAAAAUUUUAGAACAAUCAGGGUACUCAAUUCAUCUGAUUCCAUAAACCUGGAAUUAAGCCUUAAAGGAACUAAGCCUUCCACAUACCAUCACUUAAAACUUUCUGCUCAACUUUUAAAUGAUCUUUGUUUAUUAUGCAACCAUGCUCAAAUUCACACAAGGAUCACAAGAAACCAUUUCACACACAGAGAGACUGAGGAAGCAAAUACCAAGUCUGGGCUUCAAGAGAAAAAGUACUUCAGGUUAACAUUUUUGUGGUAGAGAAAAACAAGGCAUUAAAAAGUGUGGCGGUGAUGAGUGUUUCUGUUUUGAACUUCAUGUUGAAAGACUCUCUAAACUCCAUGUGGGUGGAAAAAGCUGAGGUUCAGGCUGAACAGGAACUGCAAUUCUCUGCAAUCCUGCUCAAGAACAUCUUGUUUUUCAUUUCAGAAUUUGGUAAACAAGUUUGCUCCUGUAUUAAAUAGACACUGGUGACAGUGCCUUUCAGGAAUUAUGCUGCAGAUGUUUGAAAACACACAGACCUUCAAAGUCAUACAUAAAUAACAGUCCCUCAGAAACUAAUAAUCCUGUAUUACUUAGAAUCAUGUCCUGCCUCUUGUUUCAAUCUUCCUGGCCUAUUGCUUGAGGUGGGUGACUUUCCAUGUUUACCUUGGAGAGAAAUAGAAAAAGGCAAAGAGUAAACUAAGCUGAGUCCUAGCUUCGUAAUUGUCACUACAAAUUGUUCCCUAGAAGCCUAGUACCUUAAAGCUGUUUUUUCUGUUGCCUACAAUAAUCAGUUGAAAAUGAAAGCACUGGUCACUAUUAAUGGCUUUGUUCUUAUUUUUCCAGAUAACAUGCUUGAUCAAAAAUAAGAAGUAGCAAAAUUAGCAACUAUAUAUUGAGUGACAUAGCUUGCCAAGCAACAUCUUGGCAUCUUAAAUUCAUUAUUUACCUUAAUCCUCAGAAUGACUUUAUAACGUAUAUGGCUGUGAAGUUUCAGAAUCUGAAGCAGUAGAAAUAUAAUACUAUCUCAUAAAAAUGUGCUGAAAGAAGGAUAUUUAAAAUUUUACUUGCAAUCAAAUUUUUUUUUUUUUUUUUUGCUUUUUAGGGCCACACACUCAUGGCAUAUGGAAGUUCCCAGGCUAGGAGACGAAUCAGAGCUACAGUUGCCAACUUACACUACAGCCACAGCAAUGCAGGAUCCAAGCCAAGUCUGAGACCUACACCAUAGUUCAUGGCAAUGCCGGAUCCUUAAGCCACAGCAAGGCUAGGGAUUGAACCAACAUCCUCAUGGAUUCUAGUCGGGUUCAUUUCUGCUGUGCCAAAAAGGGAACUCCCAAAAUCAAUAUUUUAUAGAGAGGCUUCUAUGAAACUAAACAGAAAGAGAACAUUGUUUUGUCACUAAAAUAUCACAAUAGUUGAAAUGAGGAAAUUAGACUAGGAUACCUUGCUUCAUCUCAAGGAAAUUCCUGAAAACACAGAAUAUCAUGAAAAGUUUAAUAACUAUUUCAUGGUAUUGAUUCAUGUGAUAAAAGAUGGAAAAAACUGGAAAAUUUUCACCCCAAACUGCCUUUUCCCCUGAUAUUUUUUAUCUUUAGUUAUGUAUCAGAUGUUUUUUAUAUGGAAAUGAGAUAAUAACUCAUGAGAUUUAUCUCAUUCAAUGGUGGAAAGUAAAUAAUAUUCAUGUAAGUUUUGGAAAAUAAGGAAAUCUAGCUUUAUUCAUGACUAUUUAUAGACAAGAAUGUGAACAAAUCAUAUUGUCUUUUUUUUUUUUUUUUUAGUUAGGGGUAGGUUGUGCACAUAGGAAAGAAAGGUAACAAAAGAAUUCAAGAUUCAGAUCUCUAGAGAAAAGGAGAGCAAAAAAAGGGGUGAUACUGCUUGCCGGGCAUGUAUGGGCGUGUGUGUGUGUGUGUGUGUGUGUGUGUGUGUAAACAUGGGGGAUAGAAGAGAUUGGUACAAACUUCACCUUUUUUGGACAUUGUGCCCCCACAAGGCUAUUCAUUAUUUAUGAAAAAAGUGUUGUGGCAAAGAAAUGGGAGUGGAGAAUUUUCAAAUAUACAUAUUGUACCAGUACAUAUCAGAAGAAAAAAAAACUAAUUCAUUUGUAAUUUUCCAUCUGCUGAUAACAUAUUAGUAUUUUGCUAUAUUACCUUCCAGUUUCAUACCUUCCUUAGGAGUAAAUGGAAAGGUGAGAAGUAAUCUUUGCGUGCUUAUAAAUAAUCAUUUUAAAAUCUUUUAAUGCAUGCAUAGCAUUUCAAUUUCAGUAUACAGGCGACUGUAACUUACUGCUUGAUGGUUACUUAGAUUAUUUCAAAUCUUUUUUUAAGUAAAAAUGUUCUGAUGGCUAAGUCUUCUUGCAUAGUCAUAUUUGUUUCCUUAGGAUAAGUAUCUAGUUCCAGCUUUAUUAGGUCUGAGUAUAUGUACACGUUAACAUUUUGAUAACAUUUGAUAACAUUUUGAUUAACCAUAAGAUAACAUUUUGUUAUCUAUUGGAAGUGAUGCCCAUGCCCCAAAUUCUCUUUACACUGGUACAUUAUAAUCCUCUGUACUGCUCUUCAUUUCAGCUAAAUUCCUAUAUUGGUAAAAUGCAAGAGCAUAGCAGUUUAUGUGUAACACAGAUAACAUAUAUCUGAACUAAUUAAUAUCUGUCAAUAAUCUGAGAGACAAAAACCCAUUACACAGUAUAUGGACUGCAGCUCGAGUUGUUUUAUAGAACACUUAUGAGACUGAAGCAUCCCAUCUGUGUUGUGACAGAAAGGAGAAGCAUAUGUGGCUAGAACAGGGGUCAGCAAACUUUGCUGCAAGGGGCCAAAGGGAUUAUUUUAGCUUUAGGGGCCACAGGAUCUCCCUCAUUCCUACUCAACUCUCCUGUAUCCUGUGAAAGCAAAGCAGCUACAGACAGCCUGUAAAUGAAAGGGCUUGGAUGAGUUCUAAUAAAAUUUUACUUAUAAUAAGAUGGUACAGGUAACAUUUGCCCAGCAGUCGUAGUUGCCAAUCUCUGAAACAGAAUACCAGACUCCUCAUCUCCCUGAUCUCAGGGUAAUGAAUGACCCAGCAAAAUGAAACUCAAGAGAAUUACAUUAUUUAUUACUAGACUGUGUUUCUCUGGAGGUCUAGUCUCAACAACCUAGAAGCAGAUAAAAUGUUGUCUCACCUUUUACUCACUAGUUAGUUCUCUACUGGACAACAUCUAGACCACUCCUCUGGGACUCACCUGUCUAGAAUAAGCACCUGUACAAAGGAAUCAUUAUAAAAAGAAUUUCAAGCCCAUGUCCACAAAAGACAGUUCAAAACACUUUCUGAUACAAUUAUAACCUUUAGCCUCACUUGCUCACCAGACCAAUUUAUAGGUCUCCAGCUCUUUCGGUACACUUAGUUUUAGAAUCCUUUCAAUUUUGCUUUUACUCAUAUCCCUCAUAUGUAUUCUUCUACACUUUGUUUUAUAUUUUUAAAUUCCAAUAUUCUUAAAUUUUACCAUUCCUUUUGUCUCAGUUCUCCCUAACAAAGUAACCUGCCAAUACAAAUUUUUGUAUAAUUCACUGAACGUAAAAAGAAAUUUUUAAAGUCUCUCCAUGUUGGCUGAGGUGUAAGUUUUUAUUAACCCUUUCUGCAGACAUCACUAUGGAACCCCUGUUUGUGAGAGGCAACAUGGAAAUACAAGACUCAGGCCUAUUCUUUAAAAGUUUAUGGUUAGUGGAGGGUAAGCAAAUAAACCAAUGGUUAGAGGAGAAUAUAAAUGCCAUGGUAUAAAUAUACACAAAAGCAAAAGGAAGGUAUGCAACUAAUUCAAAUUGGGGAUUUGGGAACAUUUCCUGGAGGAUAAAAUGUUUAAUGUAACUCUGGAUAAAGAAAUAGGAUUUAGGGGGAGGGGACAUCCAAGCAAAGUGAACUUGAAGCACAAAGGUCCAGGAAUAUUAAAGAGAAUGGCCCCAUUGAGGGAAUGGAUCUUGAUGAUAAAGCUAAAGCAAAGAACAUUGAGGAGUAGGGGUUAGUCAACCAAGGAGGGCAGGAGUUCAUCUGUGGCAGCUUGAAGAAUUUGUACUUUACCCCAAAGACUAUAGAGAGCUGUCUCUACUAACCUAAUU